CUUCGGGGUACUCGAGUGGCGNACGGGUGAGUAACACGUGGGCAAUCUGCCCUGCACACCGGGAUAAGCCUGGGAAACUGGGUCUAAUACCGGAUAGGACCACUUGGCGCAUGCCUUGUGGUGGAAAGCUUUUGCGGUGUGGGAUGGGCCCGCGGCCUAUCAGCUUGUUGGUGGGGUGACGGCCUACCAAGGCGACGACGGGUAGCCGGCCUGAGAGGGUGUCCGGCCACACUGGGACUGAGAUACGGCCCAGACUCCUACGGGAGGCAGCAGUGGGGAAUAUUGCACAAUGGGCGCAAGCCUGAUGCAGCGACGCCGCGUGGGGGAUGACGGCCUUCGGGUUGUAAACCUCUUUCACCAUCGACGAAGGUCCGGGUUUUCUCGGAUUGACGGUAGGUGGAGAAGAAGCACCGGCCAACUACGUGCCAGCAGCCGCGGUAAUACGUAGGGUGCGAGCGUUGUCCGGAAUUACUGGGCGUAAAGAGCUCGUAGGUGGUUUGUCGCGUUGUUCGUGAAAUCUCACGGCUUAACUGUGAGCGUGCGGGCGAUACGGGCAGACUAGAGUACUGCAGGGGAGACUGGAAUUCCUGGUGUAGCGGUGGAAUGCGCAGAUAUCAGGAGGAACACCGGUGGCGAAGGCGGGUCUCUGGGCAGUAACUGACGCUGAGGAGCGAAAGCGUGGGGAGCGAACAGGAUUAGAUACCCUGGUAGUCCACGCCGUAAACGGUGGGUACUAGGUGUGGGUUUCCUUCCUUGGGAUCCGUGCCGUAGCUAACGCAUUAAGUACCCCGCCUGGGGAGUACGGCCGCAAGGCUAAAACUCAAAGGAAUUGACGGGGGCCCGCACAAGCGGCGGAGCAUGUGGAUUAAUUCGAUGCAACGCGAAGAACCUUACCUGGGUUUGACAUGCACAGGACGCGUCUAGAGAUAGGCGUUCCCUUGUGGCCUGUGUGCAGGUGGUGCAUGGCUGUCGUCAGCUCGUGUCGUGAGAUGUUGGGUUAAGUCCCGCAACGAGCGCAACCCUUGUCUCAUGUUGCCAGCGGGUAAUGCCGGGGACUCGUGAGAGACUGCCGGGGUCAACUCGGAGGAAGGUGGGGAUGACGUCAAGUCAUCAUGCCCCUUAAUGUCCAGGGCUUCACACAUGCUACAAUGGCCGGGUACAAAGGGCUGCGAUGCCGCGAGGUUAAGCGAAUCCUUUUAAAGCCGGUCUCAGUUCGGAUCGGGGUCUGCAACUCGACCCCGUGAAGUCGGAGUCGCUAGUAAUCGCAGAUCAGCAACGCUGCGGUGAAUACGUUCCCGGGCCUUGUACACACCGCCCGUCACGUCAUGAAAGUCGGUAACACCCGAAGCCA
rnacentral:rRNA from 1 species